rnacentral:rRNA from 1 species
AUACGGAGGGUGCAAGCGUUACUCGGAAUCACUGGGCGUAAAGGGCGCGCAGGCGGUUUGGUAAGUCAGAUGUGAAAGCCCAUGGCUCAACCAUGGAAGUGCAUUUGAAACUGUCAGACUUGAGUACUAGAGGGGAAAGUGGAAUUCCCGGUGUAGAGGUGAAAUUCGUAGAUAUCGGGAGGAAUACCGGUGGCGAAGGCGACUUUCUGGCUAGAUACUGACGCUGAGGCGCGAAAGCGUGGGGAGCAAACAGGAUUAGAAACCCUAGUAGUCC